rnacentral:lncRNA from 1 species
GGCUCCGCGAGUCCCAGGCGGGCAGCAGCUGCUGCAGUGCGGGUCCACCGCGGCCUUUGGCGGCCCUGGCUCCCGCCCGGGUGCUCCAUAUUCGGCCCUCCUCUGGGGGUCCUGCCGGAGUCGGCGGGAGCGGACCGGGUGCGGGGGCCACCGUCCCAUCCAGCCCUGGCGCAGGGUCCUAGCCCAGCGACCUCCAGGGCAGCCGGGCCCGCGCGUGAUCAGGGCCCUCGCGGCGGGAUGCGCGGUCGCACACGCUGUCCCCGGCGGCCUAUUUAUAGCUGGUGGCACUGCCCGAAGCUCGCUCGGCCUGGGAGGCCCUCAGCAGGUGGUACUGCCAGCCUGCUCUCCGCGCUCCCGCAGGAACCUCGCCUCAGCUGCACCCUCGCCUUCUGCCUCCGACAGCGACACGGUGGGAACUGCCCACCUGGCUGUCACCUCCCUCCUGUCUAGGGGGCGAAACUGUGCACGGUCGUGCGAGGCGCUGGCGCACGCUCGGCAGGAAAAUCAGAGCCUGAGGCUCUUACCUGGAAAACUGAAGGGAUGCACAGUGUGGAGGUUCACUGUGGGGAUGAGAGAGAUGUGCGCCGCGGAUGUGAAGGGCCACAAGGAGAGGCCCAGCUACAGCCGCUGCGGCUCAGGAGGCUUCUGGAAUUGCUACGGUACCGUCCCCUGCCCGGGAAUAGGGCUCCCUGAAGCCACUGAGGCUCUUAGAGCCCUUUUAUUUGGGACAUUUUUUUGUGGGAUUCCCUUUGGAUGCCUAUAUCCUGGGAGGUAUGUUUUAAGUGGGACACAGAAAUUUUACCCCCAGUGUGAUUUAGCACUCUGAUAAUAGCUAAAGCUUUAUUCAUAGAGGGCUUAGCCCGUGUGGGGCCUUGUGCUAAAUACUCUACGUGUAUUGUCUCUAAUCCUCCCCAAAGCGCAGCAAAGAUGAUUGAAUCCAUUGGACCCACGAGGAAACAGCAGUUAGUGCAUGUUGGAAGCUGCAGGACUACUCAGUCCUUAGAGGUCUGAGAUCCAAAACCCUGCACAACACUCCCCCCGCCUCCAUCUCCGGCCCCUGCCUUGCUGCCUUGUAGGCCUUAACCCAUUCUUUGUUACAGCACAGCUAUGUGUUUCACCCAAAAUCUUUGUAAUAAAGGAGUGAGGAAUGUGUUCA